CCCAGGACUGCUUGCUGAGGGGAGUCCAGAUUCACCUGACCACUCAUUUAGUCUUGCUAUCUUUGAAAAGUAACGAAAACAACAGAGUUUUGUCUUUUUCAUCAUUGUCCUUUCAAGCAGCCACUUUUACCCAGAUUCUAUGCUCAGGAUGGGAAGUUCAAAUGCUGGUGAAUAUCUGUGGUGAUAUUGUGGCAUAUUCAAGAUAAAACGUCAUUUUUAAUAACUAGUCCACAGAUAAUGCCUUGUACAAUGAAGAUGAGAAACAAAAAUGAUGUGUCAGAUUCCCUUGUAAUACCAAUUACUAACUAAUUACUGG